rnacentral:rRNA from 1 species
AUACGAAGGGUGCAAGCGUUAAUCGGAAUUACUGGGCGUAAAGCGCGCGUAGGUGGUUCGUUAAGUUGGAUGUGAAAGCCCCGGGCUCAACCUGGGAACUGCAUCCAAAACUGGCGAGCUAGAGUAUAGCAGAGGGUGGUGGAAUUUCCUGUGUAGCGGUGAAAUGCGUAGAUAUAGGAAGGAACACCAGUGGCGAAGGCGACCACCGGGGCUAAUACGGGCCCUGAGGUGCGAAAGCGGGGGGAGCAAACAGGAUUAGAUGCCCUGGUAGUCCACGCCGUAAACGAUGUCGACUAGCCGUUGGGAUCCUUGAGAUCUUAGUGGCGCAGCUAACGCAUUAAGUCGACCGCCUGGGGAGUACGGCCGCAAGGUUAAAACUCAAAUGAAUUGACGGGG